rnacentral:rRNA from 2 species
UGGCGGCAGGCCUAACACAUGCAAGUCGAGCGGAAACGAGUUAUCUGAACCUUCGGGGAACGAUAACGGCGUCGAGCGGCGGACGGGUGAGUAAUGCCUAGGAAAUUGCCCUGAUGUGGGGGAUAACCAUUGGAAACGAUGGCUAAUACCGCAUGAUGCCUACGGGCCAAAGAGGGGGACCUUCGGGCCUCUCGCGUCAGGAUAUGCCUAGGUGGGAUUAGCUAGUUGGUGAGGUAAGGGCUCACCAAGGCGACGAUCCCUAGCUGGUCUGAGAGGAUGAUCAGCCACACUGGAACUGAGACACGGUCCAGACUCCUACGGGAGGCAGCAGUGGGGAAUAUUGCACAAUGGGCGCAAGCCUGAUGCAGCCAUGCCGCGUGUGUGAAGAAGGCCUUCGGGUUGUAAAGCACUUUCAGUCGUGAGGAAGGUGGUGUAGUUAAUAGCUGCAUUAUUUGACGUUAGCGACAGAAGAAGCACCGGCUAACUCCG